GGGCCAGUGGCGCAAUGGAUAACGCGUCUGACCGCGGAUCAGAAGAUUCUAGGUUCGACUCCUGGCUGGCUCG
rnacentral:tRNA from 1 species